rnacentral:rRNA from 1 species
UACGGAGGGUGCAAGCGUUAUCCGGAUUCACUGGGUUUAAAGGGUGCGUAGGUGGGUGAAUAAGUCAGUGGUGAAAGCUCCGAGCUUAACUCGGAAACUGCCAUUGAUACUGUUUACCUUGAAUAUAGUGGAGGUUGGCGGAAUGUGUCAUGUAGCGGUGAAAUGCUUAGAUAUGACACAGAACACCGAUUGCGAAGGCAGCUGGCUACACUAUUAUUGACACUGAGGCACGAAAGCGUGGGGAUCAAACAGG